rnacentral:rRNA from 1 species
CCUACGGGCGGCAGCAGUGGGGAAUCUUCCGCAAUGGGCGAAAGCCUGACGGAGCAACGCCGCGUGAUCGAAUGAAGGCCUUCGGGUUGUAAAGAUCUGUUGACAGGGACGAAUAAGCCAUGCGAAUAGUUUGGUGUAUGACGGUACCUGUUUAGAAAGCUCCGGCUAACUACGUGACAGCAGCCGCGGUAAUACGUAGGGAGCAAGCGUUGUCCGGAAUUACUGGGCGUAAAGGGCGCGUAGGUGGGUGCUUAAGUCAGGGGUGAAAACUCUGGGCUCAACCUGGAGACUGCACUUGAAACUGGGUAUCUUGAGGGCAGGAGAGGAAAGUGGAAUUCGUAGGGUAGCGGUGAAAUGCGUAGAUAUUGGGAGGAACACCAGUGGCGAAGGCGACUUUCUGGACUGUACCUGACGCUGAGGCGCGAAAGCGUGGGUAGCGAACGGGAUUAGAUACCCGUGUAGUC